GGUACAUUUUCUUGGUUGAUCCCUUUCGCUGUAUGGCGUGCUCGUUUGGGUUGGGCGUCGGCUAAGAGUGCUCGGAGCGUGGAUUAACUCCAGUCUCCUAUCAGGUGGUGGUUAUCGUAGGUGAUUGAUUAUGGAAACGUUUCAACUUCAACCCAUAACAGGUAAUCCCUAAGCUUAGAUGGUUUAGAGCUGCGAGGGACUCGGAGAUGGCCACACUAUUGUUUCUGUUUCUUUUAAUUGCAAUAAGUAGCCGAUUUAUUUCUUUAUAAGUUUUAUCUUAUUAAUAUUAUUAUUUGGUUUUGGGUUGUAAUAAGGCCAUUUUAAUUAUUUUUCUGGGAUUAUUUUAUCUUAUACCCUAUAUUUUUCUGAUAACAA